rnacentral:misc_RNA from 1 species
CGCAGCCCCAAUGAUCAAUGGUGGUAGAGUUGAUUAUUGGGGCUGCGUGAACUUCUCUUCACGGUUGGAUCCAGGCCUGCCAUCCGAAUUUUGCCACCAGUUGGUUAGCAUGUGCAAUAGCAAAGGAAUGGUUUUCAACCCUACUCCGCUGUUUCCUGUACACACUGCACAUGCAAAUCAAAUUGAUGGUGUCCUUAGAGACAUUCAUAGUCGGUCUGUAAAAAGUCUGGGAGCCCAGGGCAAGUCUCUUCAGUUGCUCAUAAUCAUUUUACCUGAUGUUUCUGGUUCCUAUGGGAAGAUCAAAAGGAUAUGUGAGACCGAGCUUGGAAUUGUUUCACAAUGUUGCCAGCCUAGGCAGGCGCAAAAGCUAAACAAGCAGUACUUUGAAAAUGUG